UAAAUUCUCAACCCCUCUCGAUUAGCUUCGAGAGGGCGCUUGGAUAGUGGAGGUUGCCGGAGACUUGGAUUCGUCCGAGACUCGGGCUCUUCUGAAAUGCAUCGGCUUGCGGUCGACUUUCGACUAUGCGCGACAAGGCUUUCGGCGUGAUAAUGAUCGCCGUUCGCUGAAGCGCAUGACUGAACGUCCCGUGCCUCUAAUACGUCGACCGCUUAUUAUCUCUCCGGAGAGAACAGGGUCUUCUUAAUUGAC
rnacentral:misc_RNA from 1 species